rnacentral:rRNA from 1 species
GGUUUGGCACCUCGAUGUCGGCUCAUCGCAUCCUGGGGCUGUAGUCGGUCCCAAGGGUUGGGCUGUUCGCCCAUUAAAGCGGUACGCGAGCUGGGUUCAGAACGUCGUGAGACAGUUCGGUCCCUAUCCGUCGUGGGCGCAGGAAAUUUGAGAGGAUCUGUCCUUAGUACGAGAGGACCGGGAUGGACAUACCUCUGGUGUACCAGUUGUUCUGCCAAGAGCACCGCUGGGUAGCUACGUAUGGAUUAGAUAAUCGCUGAAAGCAUCUAAGUGAGAAACUAACCUCGAGAUGAGAUUUCCCAUUCGUCAGAAGUAAGACCCCUGAGAGACGAUCAGGUAGAUAGGCUAGAAGUGGAAGUGUAGUGAUGCAUGGAGCGGACUAGUACUAAUAGGUCGAGGACUUAACCAAG